rnacentral:rRNA from 1 species
UGGGGAAUAUUGCACAAUGGGCGCAAGCCUGAUGCAGCCAUGCCGCGUGUAUGAAGAAGGCCUUCGGGUUGUAAAGUACUUUCAGCAGGGAGGAAGGUGUCGUGGUUAAUAACCACAGCAAUUGACGUUACCCGCAGAAGAAGCACCGGCCAACUCCGUG